rnacentral:rRNA from 1 species
GACGAACGCUGGCGGCGUGCUUAACACAUGCAAGUCGAACGGAAAGGCCCUGCUUUUGUGGGGUGCUCGAGUGGCGAACGGGUGAGUAACACGUGAGUAACCUGCCCUUGACUUUGGGAUAACUUCAGGAAACUGGGGCUAAUACCGGAUAGGAGCUCCUGCUGCAUGGUGGGGGUUGGAAAGUUUCGGCGGUUGGGGAUGGACUCGCGGCUUAUCAGCUUGUUGGUGGGGUAGUGGCUUACCAAGGCUUUGACGGGUAGCCGGCCUGAGAGGGUGACCGGCCACAUUGGGACUGAGAUACGGCCCAGACUCCUACGGGGGGCAGCAGUGGGGAAUAUUGCACGAUGGGCGGAAGCCUGAUGCAGCAACGCCGCGUGCGGGAUGACGGCCUUCGGGUUGUAAACCGCUUUCGCCUGUGACGAAGCGUGAGUGACGGUGAUGGGUAAAGAAGCACCGGCUAACUACGUG